rnacentral:rRNA from 1 species
AUACGAAGGGGGCUAGCGUUGUUCGGAAUUACUGGGCGUAAAGCGCAUGUAGGCGGACAUUUAAGUCAGGGGUGAAAUCCCGGGGCUCAACCUCGGAACUGCCUUUGAUACUGGGUGUCUAGAGUGUGGAAGAGGUAAGUGGAAUUCCGAGUGUAGAGGUGAAAUUCGUAGAUAUUCGGAGGAACACCAGUGGCGAAGGCGGCUUACUGGACUAUACCUGACACUGAGGCGCGAAAGCGUGGGGAGC